ensembl:snRNA U6 U6 spliceosomal RNA
CUGCUCUCUCCAGUGGCACAUAUACUAAAAUAGAAACAAUACAGGGAAGAUCAGCAUGACCCCUGCACAAGGAUGACAGGAAAUCUAUGAAGCAUUACAUAUUUAA